UUCGGUUUAGCUCAGUCGGUAGAGCACUCGACUGUUAAUCGAGUUGUCCCAGGUUCGAGCCCUGGAACCGGAG
rnacentral:tRNA from 1 species